GAGUUUGAUCUUGGCUCCAGAUUGAACGCUGGCGGCAUGCCUUACACAUGCAAGUCGAACGGCAGCACGGGAGCUUGCUCCUGGUGGCGAGUGGCGAACGGGUGAGUAAUGCAUCGGAACGUAGUCCUGGAGUGGGGGAUAACGUAGCGAAAGUUACGCUAAUACCGCAUAUUCUGUGAGCAGGAAAGCGGGGGACCUUCGGGCCUCGCGCUCUUGGAGCGGCCGAUGUCGGAUUAGCUAGUUGGUGAGGUAAAGGCUCACCAAGGCGACGAUCCGUAGCAGGUCUGAGAGGAUGAUCUGCCACACUGGAACUGAGACACGGUCCAGACUCCUACGGGAGGCAGCAGUGGGGAAUUUUGGACAAUGGGGGCAACCCUGAUCCAGCCAUGCCGCGUGAGUGAAGAAGGCCUCGGUU
rnacentral:rRNA from 1 species